UCUCCGUAGGUGAACCUGCGGAGGGAUCAUUACAGAGUUCAUGCCCUACCGGGUAGAUCUCCCACCCUAUGUUAUUAUUACUUUGUUGCUUUGGCGGGCCGUUAGGCUCCGGCCCGACUACCGGCCCCGGCUGGUAAGCGCCCGCCAGAGGACCCAAAACCCUGAAUAUUAGUGUCGUCUGAGUACUAUAUAAUAGUUAAAACUUUCAACAACGAAUCUCUUGGUUCUG
rnacentral:misc_RNA from 1 species